GACGAACGCUGGCGGCGUGCCUAAUACAUGCAAGUCGAACGCUUCUUUCCUCCCGAGUGCUUGCACUCAAUUGGAAAGAGGAGUGGCGGACGGGUGAGUAACACGUGGGUAACCUACCCAUCAGAGGGGGAUAACACUUGGAAACAGGUGCUAAUACCGCAUAACAGUUUAUGCCGCAUGGCAUAAGAGUGAAAGGCGCUUUCGGGUAUCGCUGAUGGAUGGACCCGCGGUGCAUUAGCUAGUUGGUGAGGUAACGGCUCACCAAGGCCACGAUGCAUAGCCGACCUGAGAGGGUGAUCGGCCACACUGGGACUGAGACACGGCCCAGACUCCUACGGGAGGCAGCAGUAGGGAAUCUUCGGCAAUGGACGAAAGUCUGACCGAGCAACGCCGCGUGAGUGAAGAAGGUUUUCGGAUCGUAAAACUCUGUUGUUAGAGAAGAACAAGGACGUUAGUAACUGAACGUCCCCUGACGGUAUCUAACCAGAAAGCCACGGCUAACUACGUG
rnacentral:rRNA from 1 species